AAGGGUUCCUGUUGGGAAACCAUAUUUAAAACAAACCAAAAAAGCCACAGGACCACGGCCACCAUGGUGGGGCGGCUCUCGGGUUCACCCCCCCACUAAUGACUGACGGCUGGUGCCACUGAGACAAAUAAAUACAUCGUAAGGAGGGCAAUGGGUCGCGAGUCGUUUUGGCCCUAAGAUCGGAGACGGGAGAAAUGAAAACCGGCAGAAAAAGGACUCGGGAGAACGGAGGAAUGAAAAAGUGCCCCUCGAAAAUCCACUGGGAAGGCCACGAAUGGACAGCGAGCGAAAGCUGGAAAAACGCGUUUUCAAGACUCCCAUGGAAAAUAAAAGCGAGAGCGCCUAGGAGCGGUGUCACGGCAGAAGGGACAGAACCCUGCCGGAAGAUCGCGGUGACACAUUCCCGAGGGAGCGCGGUCGGGCAGCGCGGUGGCGAGCACCCCUUUCCUGCAAGGGACCUAAAACUGGACUCGGGGAAAGCUUGGGAGAAAUCCCUCCAGCUCCCUCCCUCUCGCCUCCUCCUGCCCCAAGAACAGCUCCUGUUUUACCGACCCGGCAGUCCAGCCCAUGGGAUGCUCCAAGCCGGACCCGCGUCCCCAUCCUCGGCCGGCUCCCCCUUCCCCGGAGCCGCUCCGCUCGUGCCUUCAGUGGAGGCAGCAGAUACGGGGGGAAAAGCACCACUGGCUUUUUCUCUCGACCUUAUUCCCUUGAUAACUUUAUUUUGUGAGUGGUGCUCGGGCGGCUCGAAAGGAAAUAAAGCUUGAAAGGACAUCGGAAAGGAGAGAAGCCGGAGGCAGAGCGGGGCUGCCCAGGGAGGGGAGGGGGUCGGGGUGUCCGUGGGGUCGGGUCGGCUUCGCAUAGCCCAGCCCGCUCGGUGAUGGUUUGGUUUUUAUUUCAGUGCCUUCUCUGGGAAGGAUUUCAUGUGGGAGAGGGAGGAAAAGCUUAGUUUGGUGAGACCAAGGUGAAAUUCAGCAGGAAUUAUGGCCGCGGUUACCUGCGCUAAAGGUCGAACUCUGUUUCGGCUGAGAGCGUUUAGAAAUACAAUAAUGAUUAAGUAUUUAUUCUAGAAUAAUCAAAUCAUGAAAAAUAAAAAAGCAAGAAACCAAAGAAGAAAAGAAAGAAAAGAAGAUGGAUUAGAACAGGAAAAGCCCAAAGGUGGUGUCUGCGAGGCGGCUGCGGGUUCCAGCAGCCACAAAGGAGCGGUGGCAGAUGAGGAACGCGCAGCUCCAGAGCCCCGCAGAAGCUCCGAGCCCCGGCCCGGCCUCAGGGCUCACCCUGCCCGCAGCAGCCCCGGCGUCGGGGCGAGAGGAUGGGGCCAAGAGCUCAAACAGAGCCUUGGACGGCCACUUCCAGCUCAAGGGCUUCGCCUCGCCGUGUUUUUACACGCCUUAAUUGUUCCCUAAUAAUGCGGGGUUUGAGGAGAAGCACGUGGGAAGUUUGGGGCUGGCUGGAAAAAAAAAAUCAAAACACUAAAACAAAAAUGCCAACAAGAAAAGCCCCAAGGCAUCACCCUGAGGGGAUGGAUCCCUGGGAACCGCUGGUUUUUUCCUCCCCACUCGCAACCAAGACUUCAGGUGCGAAGGGGGAUGGUUGCGCGGCGGGGCGGGCUGCGGGAGAGGCCGGCGGCUCAGGGCGAUCCCGCGGUGCGAACCCUCUGAUCCCCGGGCUGGAAUUUCCUGCUGGGGGUCUCUUCACUCCCCCGGGACGUGUCUGUACCGUGGGGAAGAGGAUGAAGGCUCGGGGUUGCCCCCGCGUCCCCGUGGACGGGAGUUUCUCUGCGAAGCGCGGCUGGAGGUGCCGAAGGAGGGAGGUUUCCCCCCCCAGAUGAUUCCAAGCCCGCCGUCCCGGCGCCUGCAGCGCGGAUCCGCCCGGCCCCUGUCGCUCCCGACCCGGGUGACAGGGACCGGGGGGCAGCGGGGCGCUCCCCGCACGCUGCCAAGAGCCUCGAGGCGAUCGCCACAUCGGCCCCUUUACCCUCCCGAGAUAACAAACAACAGCUCCGGUCGGCCGGCCGUCCCCGCGUCCGUCCGUCCGUCCGUCCGUCUCUCAGCCCCGGCCAGGGCCGCGCGUGGAGCAGCUCGCUCCGGCCACCCCCUGGCAGCGGCCCUCGGCCGGGGGGUGCCGCAGAGAUGGGGGCAGUGCCCCCCGCACAGCCACGGGCACUCUCGGGGGCUCGGAGCUCGCCCCAUUUUGAGAAGCCCCCGUCCGAGAGUGGCCCCGAGCCCUCUGCCCAGGCUCCCAGCCGGGAGGGUGUGUGCGCUCCUGCAGACACGCGGCUGCUAAAUUUCAAGCAACUCCUCUAUAUUUUUUAAUUUUCCCCCUUUUUCUUUCCUUUCCCCUUCUCCCAAACCCUCUUUCUGCCUUCCCAAAAUCGUUUCCCGGUGCAAUCCUGCAGCCCGAGGUGAGGGAGGAGGCGGGAUGGUCCCUGCUUCCAAGACUUUUACGAACAAUCGUUAAAGAAAUCAACGGGGUUUUUUUAUUAUUUUUAUUUUUAUUUUAUUUUUCCUCUUCCCUUGUGCAGAGGCCGGAGAGGUCCCUUUGAUCUGCGAGGCCUGGCGUGCUCCGAUCCCGCACGCCGGCUGUGUGCGGGGAGGGGGCUUGGCUGCCGCGGGAGCCUCCGAGACGGGACAUGAAAGGGGGGAAGGAAAAAAAAUAUUAAAAAAAAAAAAAAAAAAAAAAAGGACGUCCAGGGUACGGGAGAUCGACCGAAGGGCUUAAAUAUUUCAUAUUCCUGGAAGCUGUCAAGGCCAAAAACAACAACACGCCUCCCGCCUCCCCCGGAGUGUUUGCAGAGGGCAGGAGCGUGUGUGCGUGCGAGGGGCCGGGAGGCUGCGGGGGGAGGGGGGAAAGAGAGAGAGGGUCAUAAAUUUUCACUUGUAAUCAAUCAAUAAUUAACUAAUAGCGGAGCGUGGGCCGAGCGCGCCGGCGGCGGCGGUGCCCGGCCCGCCGGGGUGUCGGUGUCGCGCUGUCCCCCGGGGCGCUGCGGCUCCGGGGAGCGCUCCGCGCUUCUCCCCCGCUCCAUCCCGGCGGGGCGGCCGCGGCCCCGCUUUCCCAGAGACUUUGGACUCGGGGCUAAAAUCUCCCGUGGGUAAAACGCAGCUCGGCUCCGAGCGGAGCCUGCGGGGAGCUGCUCCGCGCUGCCCGGCCGGGCUGCGGGCUCCGGGCUCACCCCAGCACGCCCCGAGAUCCCGCUCCGUGCGCUCCGUGCCCCCUCCCGCGGACCGCGGCUCCCUUCGGGGGUCUCGGGGCGCUGCCCGGGCUGCCCGAGAGGUGGCGCCGGCGCCCCGCAGGAGCCCCCCCGCCGCCGGCCACCCCCGCCCAGCGCCGGGUCGCCUGCAUCAGCCAUAAAACCAUUGAGGAUAUCAAGACAGGCGCCAGGUGUAACUGACUGGGAAAGCCAAAUCCUCUGCCCGGACAGGAGAGGAAAACGAGCCCGGCAACAGCAUCAACUCCUGAGCACUUUACCUGGAAACUUUGAAGGAGGGCUCUGCAUUAAAAUUUAACCGAUCUAUUCUCUAAUUCUUCACUUUUGCGUUAUUAAUUUAUGACAGAUAAAAGCAUAGCUGAGCCUUUCUCAUUAACUUUUCAAACGCCACUUAAUAUUGUUCCAUUAAAAGAGGUGACUUUAGCAGCCUCUGGAUCGACUUUAAAAGCGAGAGGGAUAAAGACGGAAAAGGUACAUUAAACAGCUUGCUUAAAACUCGUCCUUCCCCCCCCAACAAUUCAAAUGACACCAUCUCGACUGGUUCGUACUGGCUCCUUCCAGGAGAAAUAACUUAAUAUUGGGAAUGGAAAAGGGGUGGAGGAGAAAGGCAGAACAGGGAUAUAUAUCUUUCAACCCCUCCAUCCUCCCAGGCACUUCGGGGAGGGUUGGGGUGAAGGCAUUUCACAGUACGCCCAAGACAUUUCAAUAAAAAUUUAUUGAAACUUCAGUGACUUUUAAAAGGGAGGGGAAAAAAAUUACAGAAAAAAAAAAUUAGCAAGAACUUCUCAACAUUUAUAUAACACAAAAUAUACCUUCAUUUUUUUUUUCUUUGAACCAGCUCUGAGCACCUGACUUUCAACCCAAGAAAAUAUGCACUCACUCAAAACAAAGACAACAAUAAGCACAGUAGUAAAACUCCAUCGCGGGGUUGUUUUCUGACACACCGAAGAAACGGGCAAAAAUAAUAGAAAGUAAAAAAAAUCCUAGAAUCUUCACUUAUUUUUUUUUUUCUCUCAAGCCACUGGAGAAGCCUGUUGUCGGGUAUAAAUGUAGAUAAUUUCGUGGUUGUUGACAUUUUGAACACUGAAGAAACCGAGGAUUAAAAGCUACCAUGGCACUCUGCUUUGUCUUUUUCUGAUUUUUUUUAAGGACUUUGAUUAAUUUGGUUUCUUUCUGCUUUGCCUUUUGCAUUCUGCUCCUUGACCAAAGGACGAGGUUUCCCUGGGCUGAGCUCUGAUUUAAAAACUGAGCCCUCACAAAUGGGGGGAUUUCUCCUCCGGGUCGGGACCUAUGUUUAAAGGAAUUACCAACUUGAAAUGAAAACGACUAAAAAUAAAAACAGAAGGAAAAAAAGAAGACGGCUGCAGUCGUAUUUACAGAGAUAUGUACAAUGUCAAUAAAUUAAAGUUUAAUUUCGAGUAUUCAUAUUCCACGUAUUUACAAGAGUUAUCAAAUAAUUACAUAAAUACUUUGUUUUAAUAAUAGUGUCCGCUCUUUUCUUCUUCUCAGUAUGUUAAACCUUGUUAUUGCAUAUACAAUUAAAGAGGGAAAGCUGUGAUAAAUCUACAGUCGAGCUACAGACGUUUUUAGAUAAAAUAAAUUCACUUUUUUUUUUCUUUCCAACUACACUUCUUAUUUUUGUUGCUACAAGGGAGGAUGUUUAAGGUAGAGGGACAAAGGUCUUAUUUUUGUUUUUAUUAUUAUUAAUAAUAAUUUUUUCCCUGGGAUUUGAAACGAGCAUUAAAAAUAAACAACAAAACCCCACUGAAAUAAAAAAUACCACCACCCCCCCUCAAAAAAAAAAAUUAAAAAAAAAAGCAGACUACUCUGGAACAUGCAAAAAAAAAAAAGAAAAAGCCACCAACUGGCUCUCAGACAUCACAAUAAUAUUUUAAACACACAGCUUCCCUUAAUAUCGACUGAGGGGGUUGUGGUUAACAACCUGCCCAGGAAACAACUGUUGAAGAACCAAUACAUGAGUUACACACUUUUCUUUCGGAGAAAAAAAAAA